AAGCUCAAGGGAAAAGGUGAGCAGGCUCAGGCCUGCCUGGCCUCAGUCAGCUCAUUCUGCCUCCAUCUGUCUCCAGGACACACAGCUCUGCAGGCUGUAGUAACAGAGGACUUCAGCUUUCCACGGGAGCGACUCAGAUCACCAAGGAUGUGUGGGAUAAAUGACAGCCACCAAAUGGGCUGGACAAGUAACCACUCCGGCUCGUGGAGGGUUCAAGACUCCAUGCAGCCUUUGAUGUCACCCUGAUGACGUCUGUCAUCUUCCCCACACCUGCUAUGACAUGGCUGCCUUCAGUCACAAGCCUGAUUCACAGCAUGCUCUAUGUUUAGCAGCGCUCUGAGAAGGAUUCCAGUCUGCCUUUAGCCCUAAAUAGCUACAAAUAUCGGAGUAGCAGCAGCAGCCCUUCAAAGGCCUUUUUAGGAAGAUUCACACCAGGGAUGGGAAUGACACACAGGAGCCUCAGGUAGGGCAAUGGAGAAAAGAAACUCAGGAUUGCUCAAAACACAGCCACCCAUACCUGAUGCUCAACACGCAGCCAGGCACACCGGAUGCCAGAAAGGUGCAGCCCAGCUGCUUGUAAGUGAAGGGUCGGGUGGGGAUGUCAGACAGUCCCGGGAUGAACUAAGGCUCUGUUCUAGGCAUGUAUUUAUAACUCAUAGUUUGUGUGUUCGCGGAAGACACAGAAAUAUUAUCAACUAGUAAGCAGGAUUGUGCAAGACUCUGCUCAUGACAAGUGAUUCCUCACAGGAGCCAAGAAAGCCCAGAGAUGUCCACCCUGAAUUACUGAUAAGACAUCAUCAGAUCGCCUUAGUUAGAUGCCGCUGACACACAUUCAGAGACCUGAUCUGGCAGAGUUUCCAGGUGUAUCGAAAGUACAUUGAGUUUAAGAUGAAUGAACUAUUGAACAGUGAGGCUCAGGGAGUGGCUAGUGGAUCAGUGGGUAAGAAAAGCACUGGACACGUGUGUGUGGCCUUGGUGACCUGAUCUACCAAGUAAAAAACGAGACAGUGGGUGUCUCUCUGGGUCACGAUCAUCAGAUAAAAGUCUGCUGUAACUCACUGUAAUCCUCAGGAGCUGCUCGGUGCUCCCCUCCCCCAUAGUUUUAGAAUAGGUGGGUGGGGCUGGGCUGCCAAAUGUGCCAACACCAUGUUUGGCGGCUGUGACUUGCAGCCUAGUCUGGAGCUGAGUGGAGGUGAGGACCGAGUGGAACAGCAAGGGACAAUGACUUAGUAAGCUGAUCUGUGCCAUAGUCUGUACAAAAUCCUCAACAGGGUGGGCUGCUUAUCCUCAGAGGUCACAGGAUCUCUGUGCUUGCCACCCCUAACUCUCUGUGUCCCUUGAACUUGGUUGUUCCUGAUUGUAUCUUUUGAAGUGAGCUGCUAAGUCCAAAGAAAGCACACCUUUUGGUGGUUUAUUUUAUUUAUGGUGUGUGUGUGUGUGUGUGUGUGUGUGUGCCAUUCUGACAAAUUUUAAAUCAUGGGGCAGAGCUCUGGGGCUCAGACCUUACAGUUUGUUGGUCACUAAUACAGUGGCCUGGUCUUUCAGUUGGUGUCUGAAGUAGACUAGAUAGUGUCGUGUGACUGAGCCCUUUACCUCUGGGGCUUGUGCUGACUCCGUGUAGUUAGUGUUAGAACUGAACUGAAUUGUGGGACACCAGAUGGUAUCUGGAGAGUUGGAGAGUUGAUUGGUGUGAAGAAAGAACCCACACAUUUGGUGUCAGAAAUGUUGUAAGUGAAAACAUUUUGGAGGUGGGAACUCAAAUCUCUAUUCUGUGACAUUCCAGCCCAGAAAAGCCAGGCCGUCACCCACCAGACUUGGCCUACUCUCCCUGUCUCAGAGAAGGUGAGACCCAGCUCUCCACUUCCAGUGUAACUGCUGGCUUGGUGGGAUUCUUAUCACGGAUGAUGCCCUCCGUUGUUGGCAGUGUAAGACUCUGUGAAUAAACACAAGGCAGCUGGGAGUUUGGUGUCCCCAACUGAACCAGGCAGCUGGGGCUGUGCUCCUAGUUCUUACAUGGCCCAGUAGACAUGGGUGAGAAGGGGUCUGCUGUCCAUGCUGGGCACAAACCUCAGAGGGUACAAGACACACAGGCGGCACUGACUGGUUUCCAUUUUUGAUUUCUGAAUUGUAUCAUGAUCUUAACAGGUUUAUCAGAGAGAGGGGGAGAGAGAGAGAGAGAGAGAGAGAGAGAGAGAGAGAGAGAGAGAGAGAGAGAGGCAGAGACAGAGACAGACAGAGAGAGACAGAGACAGACAGAGAGAGAGAUUAUAGUAUAUGUGUUUACCACAGCUACUGGGACAAGAAUCCACAAAGGUGUGAACACCUUUUUAUCCUAUUUAUCUAUAAUGGUUUUGAUUUCAAGAACACAGGAAAAAGCUGGUGGCUUCAAGGAAAAUACCCCACAUCACAUGACUGGCUGUAUAAAACCCUCAUUGUCAAUGGUUUAAGCCAAAAAGGAAAAAAAAAAGAUUUGUAUAAAAUGAUGACAAGAUAAAUAAAACAUCUUUAUAAAAUAAAAUAACACUUGUCUGUAACAAUAUGAGCACUGAUUUGAGCUUCUUUAUGAUGAAGCUUGAAAACAUGCUAAGUAAAAGAAGACAAUUGUAAGCACUACUUCCUGCCCUGCUUGUAAAGUGUCCAGAACAAGCAAAUCUGCAGAGACUCCAAGUGGAUUAGUGGUUGCCUAGGGAACCUCCCCUCAACCCUGUGUGUGAGUGUGGUGUGUGUGAGUGUGGUGUGAGUGGUGUGUGUGUGUGUGUGUGUGUGUUUGUGUGUGUGUGUGUGGGGGGUGUGAGUGUGGGGUGUGUGAGUGUAGUGUGUGUGAGAGUGGUAUGUGGUGUAUGUGUGUGUGUGUGGUGUGUGUGAGUGAGGUGUGUGUGUGAGUGUGGUAUGUGUGAGUGUGGUGUGUGUGAGUGUGGUGUGUGAGAGUGUGGUGUGUGUGAGUGUGGUGUGUGAGAGUGUGGUGUGUGUGAGUAUGGUGUGUGUGUGUGAGUAUGGUGUGUGUGUGUGUGGCGUGUGUGUGUGUGUGUGUGUGUGUGUGUGUGUGUGUGCACGUGUGUGAAUAGACCUGAUAUUUCAAUGACGGUUAGUAAGUGUAAUUGACCUGUGAUGUUCAGACCUCCUCCAAUCCCACUUUCUUUGGUAUUGGCAGACACUGAUUCCCUUGGAAACUUGGAUGACAUUGUCUUAUCCCUGGGGUGGGAAAAAGGAGGCAAAGAGAAGAAAGAGGAAAUGAGACUAUGCAACAAGAGGGUCUAACCUCCUUAUUUGCACUGUCAUUCCAUCUUAAAGUUUUAGUUCUUUGUUUGUUUUUAGAAAACCAUAGUGUUAGGAAGACAGGAAAACAUUGGGGUAGAUUCCAAAUGCACAGUAGAUAAAGACAGGAGGGGCAUUAUGGGGGUCCACAAAAAGAAGAGUAUGCCAAAGGGGUAAAAAAAAUCCUAGACAAAAACGUGCUGAGAAAAGUGUUUAUUAUCCAAACUGGCAUUAAAUGAAGCACAAAGCCUAAACUAUUCAAUUAUCUUACAAGUUAUUAAACAUAUUAUCAAAGCAUUACAAUUAGUCUCUGAAUAAGUAGUUUGGGGUAAAUUAUAUCAAAGAAUUAUUUCAAGAUUUUAAGUGUGUAAUUCACUAUAUUUGGUAAAUAUUUUUAUAACAUAGAAAAGAUGUGGAUCAAUUCAAGCUGACUUAAUUCCCUAAUAAACAGAGUAAUGCUGUUAGUGAAUCUGAAUUAUCACUGUCUGGUUUCCCAACCCUGUCUCCUGUUUUCUUUCUCUUUCUCUCUUUCUCUUCUCUCUCUCUCUCUCUC